GCGGAAGCAUCCCAUUCAUUCGAAGCGGACGAUGCCAAACGGCUGCCCGUUGUAAAGAUGGCGGUGGUCCUUCCUCUACAUAGACUGCCAGUGCCUAUAUCUACCCUCCACACAAUGCGGACAGCUUGUAUCUUUCUGCAUGUAACGGAUCACGUUGCUCUGAAUGCCAAACUAAGAAAAAGACUGGUUUGAUGAAAAUGAUAACAAGAUCCAACAGUUAACUGAUAAGAAAAGGGAAUCUUUCCAAAUAUGACAGAGAGACAUCAACUGUGCUGCUAAGAAAAUGAUCUACACCACUGCAAAAUCUGAGGUCCAAAGAUGGACCAGAGAAAGGAAAGGACUACAGGAAAGGAGAUUCCACCUGAACAUCAGGAAGAAUUUCCUCACUGUGAGGGCUGUUCAGCAGUGGAACUCUCUGCCCCGGAGUGUGGUGGAGGCUCCUUCUUUGGAGGCUUUUAAGCAGAGGAUGGAUGGCCAUCUGUCGGGGGUGCUUUGAAUGCGAUUUCCUGCUUCUUGGCAAGGAGUUGGACUGGAUGGCCCAUGAGGUCGCUUCCAACUCUACUAUUCUAUGAUUAUAUGAUUCUAGAACUCAAGAAUAUAUGUUGAACAAAAAAGGCUCAAGAAAUUCAACACUUGUCCAUGAUGCAUGGGGAUUCUUUAAUGCCACAAAGGUCAUCUAUGGCCCAACCUGUUUAGCAUAAUCACAGAAUCAUAGCAGAAGUCAUGGCAGCACUGCCUAGUUCGGAGGAAGUCAGCAAAGCCAUCAACCAACUAAAAAGCCAGCAACCCCAAUGGGAACCCUGCUGAAAUCGUUAAAGAGAAUGGACCUGAGCUGACACAACUCCACCAGCUCAUUGAAAAAGUGUGGGCAACCGAGAAAAUCCCAGCAGACUUCAAAGAUGCCACCAUCAUCACCCUUUUCAAAAAAAAGGGGGAAAGAACAGACUGUGGAAACUGUCGAGGUAUCUCCCUUCUAACUUCUGCUGGGAAAAUCCUCGCAAGAAUCCUUGCAAACUGCCUUCUACCUGUCUUGGAAGACAUCCUUUCAGAAUCCCAGAAUGGCUUCCGCCCCUUCAGAGGAACAGUGGAUAUGAUUUUCACUGCAUGGCAGCUCUAAGAAAAAUGCAGGGAACAAAAUCAACCUCUGUACAUGGCAUUCAUCGACCUUGCAAAGGCAGGAGCCCCUGGUGGUGCAGUGGGUUAAACCCUUGUGCUGGCAGGACUGAUUACUUGAAGGUUGGGUUGCUGACCUGAAGGUUGCCGGUUCGAAUCCAACCCAGGGAGAUUGCGGAUGAGCUCCCUCUAUCAAGUCCAUCUCCAUGCGGGGACAUGAGAGAAGCCUCCCACGAAGAUAGUAAAAACAUCAAAAUAUCUGGGUGUCCCCUGGGUAACAUUGUUGCAGUCGGCCAAUUAUCUCACACCAGAAGCGACUUGCUGUUUCUCAAGUCGCUCCUGACACACACACAAACACACACACACACACACACACACACACACACACACACAACCUUGCAAAGGCAUUUGACACAGUGAAUCACAGUGCUGUUUGGACUGGCCUCCAAAAAAUCGAAUGCCUUGACAAAUUUGUGAACAUCCUGUGGCUCCUCCGUGAUGACAUGAUAGCAACAGUCUUGGACAGCAGCAGCCAGAAAUCCUUGUGGUUGUGUGUGUGUGUGGGGGGGGGAGGAGUAUUUUCGUUUUCCUAAAUAUUGGGGAGACAGACUUGCAGUGUGUUGCCUCUUCUGGAGGUUUCCAGAGCAAGAGAAGAGAUAAACCCAAGGAAAGGGAAGAAAGGUAUGGUCUGGAAACAAGUGCCACAAUAACACAAAAGCUAGUUAGUGGGUCAUAUAUGGUCCCAGGAUCACACUGUCCCUGCCUCUGGUUUUAAAAGAUCCUUGAUUACAAACACAGCCCCUCAUUGUAUAACAUCAAAUCUUGCUCUCAAAUUGUUGCCAGCAUAUUCGGUACCCAAAGUAUCACAUCAGCCAUUUUUAUAUCCAGAUAAAUGUAAUUAAAAAAUCAGGCCUGCCUGAGAUGUAACUCAUUACAUUGGAUGUAGCCCACCAAAACUGUUAAGGUGUGUUAGACUACAGCAACAGAAAUUGUAUCACUUGGGUGUUCAAUUCAGUUUUGUGCAAUACCAAGAGCCAGGGUGACUGUGCAACUUCAAUAUAAUUUUAAGACAGACUAAUAUGCAAGGUGAUUGGGGAUUAAUUGGUAUUCUGGUAGAAAUGAGAUAGAAGGGAUAACGUGUAAAGAAAACGGGAAACGAAGCCACCACUCUUAUGUUUCAAAUGAAAGCGAUUCUUAUUUAGACGUAUCUAUAAUUCUUGUUAUCUAAAUUAUGGACAGGCAAUUCUUUUUAAAAAAUAACAUCAACUGAAUGGGUUUAUGUACUUGUUAUGCAUGUCAGAAGCACAAACACUUUCUUCAAAAUGCAAGCAAUGCCUUAUAGCUUAACUUUUUAAAGGGAAGUAGAAUACCCAAUCCUAAAAUGUACUAGGAGUAACUUAGCCUAAGGCAAUACUAAAUACAUGAUUACUGAAGGCGUGUGAUGCUACUACAGUUUUCUCAAUCUAAAAUGGUCUCAGUCUGUUUAGCCUAAAGUUGGAAGAUUGCUUGGGAUUUCUGUGUACUAGAACAGUCUUGGAUAGAAAUUAAUACAUCUGAACUUGCUCUUUACUGAACCAUCUCUAUAAGAAAUUCUGCCAUCACUGAGACUUCAUCAGAUUGUCCUAUGGGCCGGAAGUAUCCAAAGAGACAGAUUCUCCUAAGAGAGGCAGCUGCAGAGAAGUCAAUCCAGUUCAGGUCAUGUACAGAUAAUUCUAGAAGAUGAAGGAAGGUGCAGGGGCAAGGUUUCAGAAGUUGUUACACAAAGCCAGUAAUCUAGAAAUUCAAAGCCCCAAAGAAUUGAGACAAGGAAUCAUGAAUGGGAACUUGUCCAGAGGUCACGAUUGUUAGGAAACACAGGAGUAUUAAGAGCAUGGCCAGUCAAAGAGGUUGAACCAUUGGAUUUUUUCCCAACUGCUAGGAUGGUCAGUGUCUUAUACUUAACAGAUGGUGUCUACAAGGUUUUAACAUGUCUCCUUGCCAUACUUCAAAGGGAGGGAAUGUCUCUUCAAUUUAUGUCAAAUCCUGCUGAGGAAGAAACCCCUGAGAUGCUGUAGCCACCAGCUUCUCGGAUUGGGGAAGGAAGGGGCAUCUGGAAUUAGAAACUGCGUUCAAUCCAACCCUCUAUGCCAAUUCCAAUGAAUAAUUUAUGAUACAAGCUGGAUCUACACUUAAACUGCAUUAUAUUAGUUUUCACUGGCUAUAUAAUAAAUUCACACUGCAUUAUUUGGCAGUAUAGAUCCAUCCACAGAUAACAUUCUCUUGAGUAAAUAAGUAAAAUCCAAAACCAAAUGAGUAAAAUCCAAAACCAAAUGAGUUCAAUGAGUAAAUGAGUAAAAUCCAAAACCAAAUGAGUUCAGAUGCCUAUCUAUUUGUGUGUCCAUCAAUCUAUCCAUCUAUCCAAUCUUUAUCUAGAUAUUUUAUAUCCAGCCUUUCUCCUUGUGUAGGACUCAAGCCAGCUUGCAAAAAUGCUAGAAUAUGAAAAAGCUAAAAGGCUGAUAAUAACAACAUUAAAAUGAUAUGUGAACAGAUUAGAAUAUAAAAUGUCUUUAAAAUUUCACAAAUGUAAAAAUAAUUUAAAACUUAAAAAUAAAGUUAAAAAUAUAGCACACUCCCCACAACCAAUUAAUUGCUAAAUGCUUGUUUGACUAGAAAGGCCUUUACCUGCUAGUAAAAGAAAAGCAAAAUAGGGGCCAGUUUGAUUUGUAUUAGGAGAAAAGACUUUUCUUACUCAUCCAAAAUAAUGAUAGUCUGAUGAAAUAGAAAACAGAACUCCUGGAUAUUAGUCCUUUGGAGUCAGUGUGCAAAUGUAACUUUGGGUCUAGGACUUGGUUCAAGUAUGAAGUUCAGACAUAGUUACAAAUUUUGGAAGCUUGUCCAUAUACUAUCUAAGUAGAGAGAGGUGUCAUGCUUUGAUAAAGCUAAAAAUACACCGGAAAGAAUUGUCAUAUACUGUUAGGGGGAAAUGGAAAUACAAAAUAAAGUGAAGGAUAUGAAUUGAA